UACGAAGGGGGCUAGCGUUGCUCGGAAUCACUGGGCGUAAAGCGCACGUAGGCGGAUUGUUAAGUCAGGGGUGAAAUCCUGGAGCUCAACUCCAGAACUGCCUUUGAUACUGGCGAUCUCGAGUCCGGGAGAGGUGAGUGGAACUGCGAGUGUAGAGGUGAAAUUCGUAGAUAUUCGCAAGAACACCAGUGGCGAAGGCGGCUCACUGGCCCGAUACUGAC
rnacentral:rRNA from 1 species